rnacentral:SRP_RNA from 13 species
GCUCAGGAUUGGAAUGCAGCAGUCAUGAA